AGAGAUGGGUCUGGGGUAGUAGAGAGGUAUAAGAGAUGGGUCUGGGGUAGUAGAGAGGUGUAAGUGAUGGGUCUGGGGUAGUAGAGAGGUGUAAGAGAUAGGUCUGGGGUAGUAGAGAGGUGUAAGAUAUGGGUCUGGGGUAGUAGAGAGGUAUAAGAGAUGGGUCUGGGGUAGUAGAGAGGUGUAAGUGAUGGGUCUGGGGUAGUAGAGAGGUGUAAGAGAUAGGUCUGGGGUAGUAGAGAGGUGUAAGAGAUGGGCCUGGGGUAUCAGAGAGGUGUAAGAGAUGGUCUGGGGUAGUAGAGAGGUGUAAGAGAUGGGUCUGGGGUCAUAGAGAGGUAAAAUAGAUGGGUCUGGGGUAGUAGAGAGGUGUAAGAGAUGGGUCUGGGGUAGUAGAGAGGUGUAAGAGAUGGGUCUGGGUAGUAAAGAGGUGUAAGAGAUGGGUCUGGGGUAGUAGAGAGGGGUAAGAUAUGGGUCUGGGGUAGUAGAGAGGUGUACGUGAUGGGUCUGGGGUAUCAGAGAGGUGUAAGAGAUGGUCUGGGGUAGUAGAGAGGUGUAAGAGAUGGGUCUGGGUAGU
ensembl:lncRNA